ACGAAGCACAUUUCUUUUUGGUCAUUCGAGUCGUCAGCCUGAUGUGGUGUUGCUGCGUAUUCCGUAGAGACUCGGUAUUGGCGGUUUCUAAGAAUUAAGUCGGGAUGACUUCACGUGUCUACGUCGGUCGUCUGAACUAUGACGUCAGAGAACGGGAUUUGGAAAGGUUCUUCAAAGGAUUCGGCCGGAUCCGCGAGAUAUCCAUCAAGAACGGCUUUGGAUUCGUGGAGUUUGACGACCCCAGGGAUGCAGAUGAUGCAGUGUACGAGUUGAACGGAAAGGACCUGAUGGGUGACAGGGUGUCCGUGGAGCUGGCACGUGGCAUCCGCCGGGGCGCCGACUACUACCGCUCGCGCAGCACUGCGCCGUCUCCACCGAGGCGCAGGUCGGCUCCGGCCCCUAGGUAUGGGCCCCCAACCCGGACGGAGUACCAGCUUACAGUGGAGAACCUGAGCAGCCGUGUCAGUUGGCAGAGGGGCGGGCCUCUGGCGCGAGAGCCCCCUCCUCCUUGCCCCCCGAGGGUGGCCCUCCUCCUCCCGCCGAGUGGCAUGCCGUCCCGGCGUCGCUUUGUGCCCCAAGCCCACGGAUGGUUUGCGAUGGUGUCUAGCCUUGCCUAGAGAGGUCCCUCCUGUCGAUGACCACCUCCCGGUGAUGGAUGGAUGCAUUGGCCUGGUGACCAGGAUUCCGUAGUAGGGGAUCUGAAGGAUUACAUGCGGCAGGCUGGAGAAGUGACUUAUGCAGAUGCCCACAAGCUGAGGCGCAAUGAAGG
rnacentral:misc_RNA from 1 species